rnacentral:rRNA from 1 species
UUCCUACGGGAGGCAGCAGUAAGGAAUCUUCCGCAAUGGACGAAAGUCUGACGGAGCAACGCCGCGUGCAGGAUGAAGGCUUUCGGGUCGUAAACUGCUUUUGUAUGGGAAGAUUAUGACGGUACCAUACGAAUAAGGACCGGCUAACUACGUGCCAGCAGCCGCGGUAAUACGUAGGGUCCAAGCGUUAUCCGGAAUUACUGGGCGUAAAGCGUCUGUAGGCGGAUUGUUAAGUGCACCGCGAAAUCCUGUGGCUCAACCAUAUGGACUGUGAUGCAUACUGGCAAUCUAGAGGAUGGCAGAGGCAAGUGGAAUUACCGGUGUAGCAGUGAAAUGCGUAGAUAUCGGUAGGAACACCAAUGGCGAAGGCAGCUUGCUGGGCCAUUUCUGACGCUAAGAGACGAAAGCGUGGGGAGCGAACAGGAUUAGAUACCCUGGUAGUCCA